UCCUUCCCUCCGCCCCUCGGGGUGUGGCAUUGGAGCCCAAGUCGGUUUCGACCAACUGGCUCUCAAAAGUAAUGACGGCGUCCGUGGGACCCUCGAUACACUGAGCCCUUUCGAGAGCACGUAUCGAGUUGCAAGGACCUUCCGGGCCGGUCUGAACCUCAAAAUCUUUUCUCA
rnacentral:misc_RNA from 1 species